CGUGUUGUUAUGAUCUAACUUUACCGUACCCACCGCUUUCUCAUCCAAUGAGGUUCAGAUUUGUGUACAUGGUCACCGCCCCUACCUUCUUUCAUCCAACAACACAGACCGACCGCCUUUGUCUCAAUCUUUUGUUAACCUUCUCUGAGUAGAUGAUAAUGAAUAACCAGUCUUCCAAGAAAACCUUACUCCUCCACCUUCUCUCUUCACCGCCUCAUCUCAACACCGUCACCACCACUAACGCCACCCUCUUUAAAGGCUUUCUUCUACCGAUUAAGAAUUAAGGUUAAAUAGAUGAUUCAGCUAUUUAAUUUUGGGGUUUUAUUGAAGCAUCUGGGAUGAAGAUAACACAUCGACACUAGUGAGAAAAAGAUCGAGAAAUCAGCCCUACUCUACCCCCUGUAGAAAUCGAUCUUUGACCAAAAUUGCAGGUUAAUUUAUUCAAUUUAUUUUAUUUUUCUUGUGAUGAAGCCCUACUCUACCCUCAUUUUGUUCGAUUCUUGCUAACGAAGAAGGUAGAUGAAGAAAGGGAUCGAGAAAUAGAGAUAAAGAGGUGUUGUUUCGAGUUCCAAGCUGACCUCACUUCCAGAUUUUGGUUAUGUAUAGAUAUGUUGCGCUUCCCCAAUCCAUUUGCUUCCCUCUCAAUGCUUUGCUCAAGUUCUCCUUUGCCCUACAUCACGUCUCUUCAACUACUCCAGGCAGACUAAUUAAAGGAGGUCGAUAUCACUUUUGUUUUUGGAAUCGGAAUUGGUAUAGCUUGCUUCUCCUCCGUGAAUCUGCUCCAACAUCGGUUCUUCGUUUCAACCUUCACUGUGAAAAAAAUGGCAUCUAUACCUUGAAUUCACGUCUCCGGUGAAGCCCUCAAUUUCUAGGGCAAAAGGGCCAUCUUUGGUUUCAUUUGUCCCACAUAUGAACUCAGAUUCGCCUAACCAAAGCUUGAAGAGUAAAAACACCGAUGAUUUUGCAUAUCAAUAUGGAUAGGAAAAUCAAGAAGAAGAAUGUAGGACUGAAGGUGAAAUAGUUCGUUCUCAAUCAAACCGAAACUUUACCCGACAAUGGAUCAUGUAAGGCGGUGGAAUUGGUUAAUAAUGUUAAACAACUUCAUCAAGGGUAAAUUGGUCAUUUCAUGGAUAGGUUCUUGGUUUCAUGGGAGUUUGUUUCCGGUGGUUGUUGUGGUUGUGUGUUUGGUCAAUAUUCGGUCAUGGAGGUGUACCACAUGGUUGACGAUGAUUGGUUAUAUCUUUCUAAAUUAAGUAAGAGUGAAAAUUUGUGCUCUGAUUUUUUUAAAGUAUCCGCACGAGAAGCUCUGAGGGUAUUAAAGUCAAUUCAUGUUGCUGCAAGAAGAAGCCUUCCAGUUUUAGUUAACCCUGAAAGGCAGAUUUUAAGCAUUCCAGUAAGCUUAACCCUUUAAAUAGCUUUAUUUAUUGACUUUAGUUUAAUAGUAACUAUUUGCUUUUUUUCUUUUAGAAAACUUCAUUGUUUCAUAUAACCAUAUAAUCUAAAAAAAUUUGCUAUUUGGUUACAGAAUAUUGGCUUUAGAAUUUGCCCAUAUUUGAAGGUAUCUGCCAAAUUUAAUCCAAGAGUACCUCUUGGUGGUGGAUACAGUUUGUUUUUAUGAGUUUUGGCUAACGUGAGCCAAAUGUGUUUUUGUAGUUCAUUUUGUAAAAUUAUAAUUCUAAAAAAUAAAGAAAAUAUAAAGAAAACCAUAUUCAUAACCAUUCUUAUUGGAGAUGAAAAUCAAUUACCUACAAUGGUUAUAAGCAAUGUUUUCGGUGCAUCGGGUUUUGGAAGAAGCUUAUUUUACAUAUUGAGUUCUUUUUUAAGUCAUACUUCAUGCAGUUCAAUUUAAGAGUUGCAAAGUAAAACCAAACCACAAUCUUACAGUUUCAAUUCCAGCAUUAUUUUCAGCCUCCAGAAGAAUCAAGAUAAAAUCACAGAUCAAAAAACACACAAAAAAACCAAAAUACCCAUCUUUUCUUAACAUGUACGAGAACUCCUUAUAAACCAUGCAAUUCUAUAUUUUUCUUUUAUAUAUGCUGAAAAAUAAUGCAUCAGUGAAGUUUUUUUUUGCAUAGGAAAUACCAUUUGAUAGUAGCUGUGGUGUUAAGCUAGGUAAAGGUCGAAAUGUGUGUCAUUAUUGUUACAUUAUGAGGAUUAACAAGGUCAAUAUGCAGGAUUAGGGUGGCCAAUAUAGUUGGUGUAGAUGAGUUCAGCUUAAAAUGUUACCAGGGGGAUUGUAUUAAUUAGUUUGUUACUUUGAAGUCAGAUGUACGAUUUAGCUUUUUUAGAAAAAAAAAAAGAUUAAACAUUUGAAAAAAAAAAUGUGCAAUCAGCUUUCUGAAUCCCAAAUCUUCUAUUGAGUA